GCUAUGUGCCCAGAGUUCGGGGGAUGCGAGGGCCUGAAGGCUGCUCCCUGCCUGGCUGAGGGAAGAUGAAGGGUCCACCACUCUGUGUUGGCUCCCCAUAGCUCUCCAUGUAGCUGUCUCUGAAUCUCUCACUUUUAUUCCUUGGCGUAGGCUGUACAAAAACAUGUUAGAGACCUUGUGCACCUAAUUGUGUUGUUGAAGCCUGUGCUGCCCUUGCCUACACUGCUAUUUUUAGUGGUGCUAGCACAGGUGUCUCUAAACAAACUGCAGUGCUCUCCUACCUCUGAUUACAAUGUGGACAUAAAUGCUUGCAGUAUGUGAUUAAAAAGUGUGCCAAGAAAAAGCAGCACUUAUUAGCAAAGCUUGAUUUUUAGCUGACUGACAGGGUAGUGUUUAGUUUAAAUUGAAAAACCAGCAGCCUUCAUUUUAACACUCACACUGAUAUGCUGGAGAGUUCUGGCCUUACUCUAAGUGAACGUAUUGUUAGUACUAGCUCUUCCAGUCAGUGUGGAUUGAUUCUACCAACACAGAGAGAAUUCUCCAUUCUACCAGGCCAAGUUAAAUAUUAACAUGUUCUGUCAAAAGGUGAACUCUGUGCUACAUUUUAACUGAGAAAGUGAGCUCCUUGGUUAAGCAUUCAGUCAGAUGGGGAGAAAAACCCCAAACACACAAAUAACAAUGCCUUGAACUGGAACUUGUUUGUUUGACUUGCAUUGCACUGGAGCAUGGAAUUAAUUCAAAGACAUCAGGGAGCAUAACAGCUGUGAAGUCCAAAGGAUGAAAAUUUUGAUUUUGAAGCAUGCACAACUUUGCCUAAUUGCUUCUAAUCCUCAUCAGGAGCAGUUAGCAUUGUAGAAGAAGGCAAUCUUUCUGUCUCUUUGAGCUUCCAUCUGAGAUCUCUACACUCAUUUGAGGAGCCUGGCAGAGUCGUCUGCUACUAACCAGGGAAAAAAAAAAACAUUUGGGACCAGCCUGCAUGAGGUGCCUCCUGCCUGUUCAGUCUCAGGUAGAAGACUUCUGAGAAUUCAUUCUGGAGAUGGGACCUAGAGCUACUUGCUUGUAUAUUUCAGCGCAGUCAUUAGGAAAGUUGGCUUUUAUGUAGAGCUCUCUGGUCAUGUCUCUAGUUUCUGGAGAUACAAUGGGCACUUCGCCAACCAUGAAACUCCCAGACCGAAGUAAUGUUUUCAACACAACAACAAAGAGCCGAUCUUGUCCUUAACUCUGUGGAUGAAGAAUGAAGCGAGGUAUUGUGCUCAUAUAACUUCCUAAAAACCUAUUUCCUACUUUUUGACCAGUAAAGUAACAAGAUUUUGUUUUCUGAGCCCCAAAUCUGCAUAUGUGGAGAGGAUUUCAGACCACAGGAAGCUUUGAAUUGGAUUCUUCUCUCACCUACAACAGUGUAAAUCAGGAGAAAGUCAAGUGACUUCAGUAGAAUGACACUGGCAAAAUUCUGCUAUAAUUCAGGAUACGUCUACACUGAGAAUGCUAUAAGGGUACAGCUGGGCUGGGCUGUUGUAGUGCUUCAUGCACAAACUCUUUAUGCUGUUGGGAGGGUUUCUCCCAGGGUACGUCCACACUGUAGAGUUUUUUCGGAAAAAGGUCGUUUUUCAAAAAAAACUUCACUUACGACU